UCUUUGUUAGUAUAUCGGUUAGUACACGCGCCUGUCACUUUCCUGUGCGCGCGAAAGCGGGGUUCGAUUCCCCGACAGAGAG